CCUGCGUGUACGUAAGUUGUAAAUCACUCCGUGUACACGUAAUUGGUGUGUGCGCUCAAACCUGUUUAACAGAGUGAGCUGUCAGGAACCUGGAGGCCGUGGCCUAGAGGCACGCUGCUGGUUUCCGGCACGCCGCGGGCCCUGCCUUUGCCCGGCCUCAGCAGUCACCUCUCCCCGCGGGCGCGGAUGCUGCAUGGGACCGUCAGCCGUAGCAGGCGGCGAGGAGCCCUGAGCGCUGCGAUGCAGGAUGGAAGUCAGCGGCUGCGGCACGGGUGUGGAGGCAAACAGAUGAGAAACAGAUUCUCAGGAAAGGAGGGGGCAGAGAAGUGGCUGUUCAGCAGGAUAAAACAAUGCUGUUUUGCACUGCAGGUUGUUGUUUGUUAUACCUUAACAUCUAGGCUCGAUAACUGUAAUCCUAUACUCCCUGAUCCCCGUUACGUUGAGCUGGAAGGUUCGGCUUAUCCAGAUUUCAGUAAGCCUUUAUUAGGAGCAGGCCAGCUCAGCGGUAACUCAUGUUCCAUGUUUUCUGCGCCAAUUUUUGGAUGGCCUUUUUUCGACAUGGCUAAGAUUUUGCUCAUGACCUGUAAGCACCACAUGGGCUGCAUUCCUGAUGUACCUAUGUAGCCUGUGCUUGACCUUCUCUUCUUGCAGUAAUCAGAAAUGAAGCUCGGUCCAAAGCUGCCCCAGUGGCUGCCAAGGAGCCAACCUCAGUGUGCAUUGUAAUCCGAGGGUGAACCUUCCUGGGCAGUUCUUGAGGAGGAGGUGAAGCAGCAGAUAGAGAUCUCUCUUGUUCAUCAGUUCAGAGGAGCCCAGCAGUGCCCACCAUGUUGGGCUGCUGACAAGCCCAUCCGAGGGCGCUUACAAAAACUUCUUAGGAGGUGCCACUGACAUUAUUGUUCGAGCUAAAUAUCUUUGAUUCUGCCUUUCUCCUACUUUAUCUGCACGGAGAUCUGCUGUCCGCCUCAGAAGAUGAAGACCUCCAUGGUCUAGCAGUGUGUUUCUGAUGAAGAACCGGGCUGAAGCCCUGCACUUUCCUGCUCUCCGUGUGGGGAUCCAUGCCAAAUCUGUAUGCUGCACAGCACAGUUUAAAAGUGUAUGUAGAUUAACAAGUAAGAGUUAGUAUUUGCAGCACAAAGUGUUGGUCAGAUGCAAUGUUUAUGAAUUCUGAACCCUGUACUGUAAGGUCUCAGAGCCAAGCGGGUUGUUGGGCUGCAGGAAGGGACUCACCUUAAGGUAACAACAGCAUUGCACAACUAUGGUAGGGAGAGAAGGAAGGGCAAUUAAUUCCUCCUUGUUAGCCUUCAGGGGAAUUUUAAGGACCCAAAAUGUAAUUACCCAAACUGGAAGUUGUCCAGGAGCCUAGAGUAAACCACCCUCUCACAAAACACACAAUGGGAUCGUGCAGUGAUCAUGAGUUCCCAUUUAGAAGCACACGUGGGCCGGCCAACACAAAGCCGCGGUGCAGUGCGCGUUGCUGUUUGCUGUCUCGGCACUCUCAGGGCUGCUCCCCCCGUGCUCCCUUCCAGAACCCAACCCAGCAGCAGCGCUCUGGCUGUUGUGCAGCCGCAGCACCCCGCACGCACCCUGCGUUUCAGCAGGCGGAGGGCACCACCCGCUCUACGCACACACGGGCCCGACCCGAGCUCGCCCAGAGUCUGCCCGGGGCCUUUUAAGGCAGAACUAUCCUCCCGCCGCCGAGCAACGCUCCGCCGCCCGGCCGCGCUUCCCGGCCGUAGCGGGGCCUCUGUGCCCUUCCGGGGCGGGCGCAUCCCGGCGGGGGGGCGGGCGCAGCGCCCCGUGCCCGCGGGGCCGGCCGGGUGCCGCAGUGCCUGUGGGGCCGCGGGGCCGGGGCCGAGAGCACCGCGGACAGCGGCGGGUGAGCGUCCUGCCCGCACCGCUGCCCGACCUCGGGAGGCCGGCUGAAUCUCUUCGCUUUCUCGACUGCUCGGCGGUUAUGAGUGGACCGACCAAAAACUGACAGUGCACGGGAGAACCACUUCCACAGUUAGUCGUUGGUUCCUGUUUGAGUGCCAUUAACCAAUUCCAAGGAAUGGAGGAGAAUAACGGGCAUCAUGCUAAAACCAGUGGCGCGGUGAGUGACCUGAGGAGAAGUUGGCAGACCUGGGCAGAGGAUCGAGUUGAGUACCAGAGGAAGAACCCGUUCAGCAACGACGACAGGCUUGCAUCUAAACCUCUGCAUGCUCAGAGAGGAGACCCUGCCUACGGGAGACCCCCCGAAGGGUCUAAAACAGAGCAGAGAGGGAAAGAUGCUCACUCGCACGUGGAAAAGGAGGUGGAAGAGCUGUGCCUGAUCAUCAGAAGCACCGGGCAGAAGGGAGAAGAUGGACACGUGAGUGUAACGUUUGGGCAGCUGUUUGAGACAUACGUGACUAUCUCCAACAAAGUGGUGGGAAUCUUGCUGAGAGCCAGAAAACACGGCCUGGUUCAUUUUGAAGGUGAAAUGCUUUGGCAAGGAAAGGACGAUGAUGUGGUCAUCACUUUGCUAGAAUGAGACUUUGGCACCUGAUGAAUUUUGCUGCUUGUUUCCAUUUGGAAAAACCUCUAGAUACCGUCUUGAAAAAGGUUUUCAUUGCAGAAUUUCAGCUCUGCAAAUUAAUGGGACAUUUAAAGGAGAGAAAACGGGUGAGAAGCAUAAAAAAAAGGUUUGCAUAAAAAUAAUAAGCAAUAUUGGGCAGAAAUCACAAAUAAUCAACUAAUCUGUCACACUACCAAGUAUGCUGUGGUUCUUCAAGCAUCCUCACUGAGUUAGUGCUUUAGGUUCUGAACACUAAUGACUAAUUGCCACCGUAAAGCACUGAUUCUUGGAGGUUGUGAAAGACUUGCUGUGGGGGGAAUUUUUUGAUUUGCAAAACAUAGAAUUGAGCACUUUUAUGGGAAUUCAUAUACUUCUUCAAACAAGAGCUUGGCUGUAGCACAAGUUUAGGUUAUUUUCACGUGGUGACUCUAAAUAAAUGGAAGUUAGGUUGACUUUCAUGAAGUAUAUGAAAAUGCGCAAGUUUACAGAAAUAUCACUUGCUUAGUGCAAGGAUAUUUCAUGUUUUCUAAAUAAGCUGCAUCUUGCUGAAUUUACUGGUCUACCCUUAGCAUCGUGGCCUCUGCAUUUAAUUUCUGUAUCUCAUACCACUUUCACCUCUUCUUUUCUUCUAAUGCUGCGUCAUACCCCAGAAGAUCACAAAGCUCUGCAGCCCUUUUGGUGAUCUCAACUAUACCCUUCACAAAAAGUAGGGUUCCACAAUACAGACUUGAAAAACAACAGAAAAUAUACUGGGGCAUUCAUGAAAAGAAAAAAAAAAUAACAAAAAAAAAGCUCUUUGGCUUCUUUCAGCAAAGUGUAGCAAUGCUGUUUACAACAGGGGAGUAGAGAUCCCAUAGUGCCAAAUGCAUAGGUGCAAGUAUAGAGGUGCAGUCACAUACCUCAUUUAGUUGAGGCAGAGCUGCGUUGCGAGUUCUCCAAACUGGGAGAAAAAAUGAGCUGCUAGAUACAAAUGGGAUUGAGAGAUGAGCGACAAGAAUUUUCCUCGUGGUUCUUCUGGAGGGACUUCUUUCAGUGUUCAGAAUGGGUUACAUUCAAUAGUAGUAAUAGCAAUAUUAAAAAUAAUUAGGAACUGUGUUUCAAAUAACUGCCACCAAGAAAGCAUUGGGAAUACAAAAUUCUAUUUUAACAGGGCAGAUAAAAGCUCUUAUGUGGUUUAUGUGGUGCUAAUUACAUUACUUGAUGAGUCUUUAAAAUAAGAAUAUUCCCUUGCUUCAAAAGGAUACUGAGAUUAUUAUAAAUUAUGAACUUGAUAAAAGUGAUUAUUUAACGCUAUUUAGAUAAAAGACCAUUUUUUUUGCAAAAAGAGUAAGAAUGAUUUUUGCUUGAUAUCUGUUGGGGUUUUGCAUGAAGAUAAACCUUCUGACUGAGCAAGUAAAAAUACAAUUUUCAUUAUCCCUAUGCCUCCUUUUCCUAGUGAAAAGACAAUGAAAAUAGAAAAAAAAACAAAGAGGUGAAUGUGGUGAAUUAAGUCCAUUUGGGGAACAGGAGAGCCAGAUGCAGGUACAGCCUGGAGGGGAACCAAAGGAGGGGCUUUAUGCACCACAUCAUUUUACCAAGUUGGAAACUGGAGAAUAUCUGCUGCACCAGACGCUGCUGGUUUGUGUUCCCUUAGCUCUCAAAACCACUCCUUUCUAAAAUAAUUUAUGGCUUAAAACAGGACUUAUGUAACUCGCCAUCAUUACGCAUUUAAAAUGCCUUGUUUUUUUUCGGAAAAGCAUUUCUUGCCAAAUGACAAUGAAACCUGGGCAUGCAUUUUGAUUUCAAAGCGCAUCAGUUUUUUUAUAAUACAGCUAUGAAAUGUGGUCUGCUUAAUUCUAACAAUUUGUCAGUCCAGUUGGUUCUGCUGUAGCGGUCAGCUUGUAACUUGGACAAGGCAGCGUUGGGCAGUUCAAGUAUCACCAGCUACAAGAUGGCAGUAUCAGGGAAAAUAAUCCAUUACUCUCAAAAGACACACAGUUGAGACAGCGUGUAACCUGAGCACUUGCAGGGUGCAAGUCCAGCUUGUGCAGACUCACUAAUUCUUAAUUAAGACUGACCCAAGUAGUUAGGCAACAAGAACCAAGGCUUCCACUGCCAUGCAUGUAGUGUCAGAUAGUAACAUGGCCUCAGCUGUACUCCUGCUGCUUAGGGUUGGUUUAAGUAUCACUUGAGCACAUCUGCAAAAGCUUUAAGUGUACCUCUCAGAACAGAAGCAGAGUAAGCCCUAAUAAAAUGGUCUUAUCAGCUCUGUGCCUGUGAGAAGACUGUCCUAUCUUGAACAAAACAAAGAGUUGUUAUUAAAAACAUAAUUCAUAGGGGGAUGGAUUUUUUAAGAAGCAACUGUAGGGCCAAAUUUCCUGCCUGCCAUCUUUAGGUGAACAUCAUCUGCAGGGGGACGAGCCUUUCUGUUUCAUAUGCCCGUGCAAUGGCACCAAAAUCUGCCAAACUGGGUCAGCGCACAAGUUGACAAAUCUCAUCUGCUUUCAGCAAUCGCACAUAUUUCAAAAGAAGUCUGUAAAAGAUAAUGCAAUUGUUCAGUUUGUCCACUGAAUACAAUCAAGAAUAAAAAAUCAAUCUUAAAGCCUGUACAGAGAA